rnacentral:rRNA from 1 species
GAUGAACGCUAGCUAGAGGCUUAACACAUGCAAGUCGAGGGGUAACGAGAGGAAAGCUUGCUUUCCUUGUCGACGACCGGCGCACGGGUGAGUAACGCGUAUCCAACCUGCCCCCAACUAAGGAAUAACCUUGCGAAAGUAAGACUAAUACCUUAUAAUUUCCUCAGAUGUCAUCUGACGAGGAAUAAAGAUUUAUCGGUUGUGGAUGGGGAUGCGUCUGUUUAGCUUGUUGGCGGGGUAACGGCCCACCAAGGCAACGAUCAGUAGGGGUUCUGAGAGGAAGGUCCCCCACAAUGGAACUGAGACACGGUCCAAACUCCUACGGGAGGCAGCAGUGAGGAAUAUUGGUCAAUGGGCGAAAGCCUGAACCAGCCAAGUAGCGUGCAGGAUGACGGCCCUAUGGGUUGUAAACUGCUUUUAUACAGGAAUAAAGUUAGCCACGUGUGGUUAUUUGUAGGUACUGUAUGAAUAAGGACCGGCUAAUUCCGUGCCAGCAGCCGCCGCAG